UCGAAGCAACGCGAAGAACCUUACCAGGUCUUGACAUCCUCUGACAACUCUAGAGAUAGAGCGUUCCCCUUCGGGGGACAGAGUGACAGGUGGUGCAUGGUUGUCGUCAGCUCGUGUCGUGAGAUGUUGGGUUAAGUCCCGCAACGAGCGCAACCCUUGAUCUUAGUUGCCAGCAUUUAGUUGGGCACUCUAAGGUGACUGCCGGUGACAAACCGGAGGAAGGUGGGGAUGACGUCAAAUCAUCAUGCCCCUUAUGACCUGGGCUACACACGUGCUACAAUGGAUGGUACAAAGGGCUGCAAGACCGCGAGGUCAAGCCAAUCCCAUAAAACCAUUCUCAGUUCGGAUUGUAGGCUGCAACUCGCCUACAUGAAGCUGGAAUCGCUAGUAAUCGCGGAUCAGCAUGCCGCGGUGAAUACGUUCCCGGGCCUUGUACACACCGCCCGUCACACCACGAGAGUUUGUAACACCCGAAGUCGGUGGAGUAACCGUAAGGAGCUAGCCGCCUAAGGUGGGACAGAUGAUUG
rnacentral:rRNA from 2 species